UACGUAGGGGGCAAGCGUUGUCCGGAUUUAUUGGGCGUAAAGGGCGUGUAGGCGGCUUGGUAGGUCCGCUGUGAAAACUCGAGGCUCAACCUCGAGAUGUCGGCGGAAACCACUUGGCUAGAGUCCGGAAGAGGAGAGUGGAAUUCCUGGUGUAGCGGUGAAAUGCGCAGAUAUCAGGAAGAACACCUAUGGCGAAGGCAGCUCUCUGGGACGGUACUGACGCUGAGACGCGAAAGCGUGGGGAGCGAACAGG
rnacentral:rRNA from 1 species